rnacentral:misc_RNA from 1 species
UAACUUCCACCCUGCUUAAAAGGCUGAAAUAAAAAGCAAUAGCAAUCCUAAAUGCCACAGAGGGGUUAAAGACAGUAUAAUAUAUUUAACAGUCAAAGGAAAGGAAAGUAUACAUUGGCCGAUAGAAAUCACAAGCAUAAAGAUAAAUAGUAGGUCAAUAGACCAGAGCUUCACAUUCACAGUAGACCAGAAAAACAUCAGAAUGAUCAACUUACAGUGAACCCAUGCAACGAUAGUUAAACAUGCAUGAUUUAACAGAAUAUUAAGCAAGCUAGCAGGAUAACAUGAUUUUAUACCUUCUAGUCUCCCCUCAACUUUUUAGCUUGAUAUCUAGAAAUC